UGGGGAAUCUUGCGCAAUGGGCGAAAGCCUGACGCAGCCAUGCCGCGUGAAUGAUGAAGGUCUUAGGAUUGUAAAAUUCUUUUCACCGGGGACGAUAAUGACGGUACCCGGAGAAGAAGCCCCGGCUAACUUCGUGCCAGCAGCCGCGGUAAUACGAAGGGGGCUAGCGUUGCUCGGAAUUACUGGGCGUAAAGGGCGCGUAGGCGGACAUUUAAGUCAGGGGUGAAAUCCCAGAGCUCAACUCUGGAACUGCCUUUGAUACUGGGUGUCUUGAGUGUGAGAGAGGUAUGUGGAACUCCGAGUGUAGAGGUGAAAUUCGUAGAUAUUCGGAAGAACACCAGUGGCGAAGGCGACAUACUGGCUCAUUACUGACGCUGAGGCUCGAAAGCGUGGGGAGCAAACAGGAUUAGAUACCCGCGUAGUCCCUGAGCGGGCUGGCAAGGCGCAU
rnacentral:rRNA from 1 species